rnacentral:rRNA from 1 species
GACGAACGCUGGCGGCGUGCUUAACACGUGCAAGUCGAACGGAAAGGCCCUGCUUUUGUGGGGUGCUCGAGUGGCGAACGGGUGAGUAACACGUGAGUAACCUGCCCUUGACUUUGGGAUAACUUCAGGAAACUGGGGCUAAUACCGGAUAGGAGCUCCUGCUGCAUGGUGGGGGUUGGAAAGUUUCGGCGGUUGGGGAUGGACUCGCGGCCUAUCAGCUUGUUGGUGGGGUAGUGGCUUACCAAGGCUUUGACGGGUAGCCGGCCUGAGAGGGUGACCGGCCACAUUGGGACUGAGAUACGGCCCAGACUCCUACGGGAGGCAGCAGUGGGGAAUAUUGCACAAUGGGCGGAAGCCUGAUGCAGCAACGCCGCGUGCGGGAUGACGGCCUUCGGGUUGUAAACCGCUUUCGCCUGUGACGAAGCGUGAGUGACGGUAAUGGGUAAAGAAGCACCGGCUAACUACGUG